rnacentral:tRNA from 1 species
GGGCCUGUAGCUUAGUCCGGUCUGGAGCGCUGCUCUUAUAAAGCAGUGGUCGGGGGUUCAAAUCCCCCCAGGCCCA